CCUACGGGGGGCUGCAGUGAGGAAUAUUGGUCAAUGGGCGCGAGCCUGAACCAGCCAAGUCGCGUGAGGGAAGACGGUCCUAUGGAUUGUAAACCUCUUUUGUCGGGGCGCAAAAGACGCCACGCGUGGCGUUCCGAGAGUACCCGAAGAAAAAGCAUCGGCUAACUCCGUGCCAGCAGCCGCGGUACUACGGAGGGUGCAAGCGUUACUCGGAAUCACUGGGCGUAAAGCGCGCGUAGGCGGGAUAGCAAGUCAGAUGUGAAAGCCUUCGGCUUAACCGGAGUAGUGCAUUGGAAACUGGGAGACUUGAGUGCAGAAGAGGAGAGUGGAACUCCAUGUGUAGCGGUGAAAUGCGUAGAUAUAUGGAAGAACACCAGUGGCGAAAGCGGCUCUCUGGUCUGUAACUGACGCUGAGGUUCGAAAGCGUGGGUAGCAAACAGGAUUAGAUACCCGUGUAGUC
rnacentral:rRNA from 1 species